UACUAUGGAAAAAGACAAAGAAGAAGAAGACAAAGAGCAAAAUGAAGACUAAAAGAGUUUUUUGUAAAAAGUCUUGUAAUUUUCAAAAAUUGUAGUAUUUUAGUUUAGUCUUGUUAGGCUAGUAUUUUAGUCUCAUUAGGCUAGUAUGUUUCAAGAAAAGUGUUUGUCAUGUUAGGCUAGUAUUUAUUUCAAGAAAAGUGUAGUAUUUUUAGGCUAGUCUUGUUAGGCUAGAAAAGUCUUUGUCUUGUUAGGCUAGUAUUAUUUAUUUCAAGAAAAAUCUUGUAAAUAGUAGGCAAUGUUUUAAGUAAAGAUGUAACGUGUCCUAGUGAGUCAGCAAAGAGAUAAGAAGGAAUAAUUUGGGUGGAUGAUGGGGCCCAAUGACCACCCGCACUCUAAUUAUUACCCUCAAUCCUUUGCCUAUAUAUAUAGGACAUUGUAAAUUCAAGAAGGGGCAUCGACUCUUCAACCUUGUAUAAUAAAAUCUUUCUUUGAAAAACUCUAUCUCAUAUACUCUUACUCUCUCAAUAAUAUCAAAAGAUCUAGCAUCAACUACGGAACUAAUGGAGCAAAAUAAGGUACGCAAUUC
rnacentral:lncRNA from 1 species